CCAAAGUAGAAGAAGAGGAACCAGAAAAGGCAGGGAGUUGGCAGACAUAAUCCUUAAGAUAGGAAGGAGGAUUAUGCUGUCUAGUGGACUUUCUAGAAGCAGGAAGAGUGUGUGAAGAAGGUAAAAUAGGGGGAGAGAUAUCAGGAUUGAAGGAAGGAAAGGAAGAUGGAGCAGCAUCAGUAAAAUCAGGAACAGGAGAAUCAGAUGUUGGAGCAGAUGUAGGGGAAGGAGGGGAGGAAGCAUGUAUAGGAAAAUCCAUGUCAGUGAAAUGCUCAACAGGAGGAAUAGAAGGAAAGGAUGAAGGAGAAGGGUGAACAGAAGAAGCUUUAUUCUUAAAAGGAAAACAAGUUUCAUGGAAUAGAACAUCCCUGGAGACAAAACAUUUCUUGGAAACCAGAUCAUACAGUUUAUAACCCUUUUUGGCAAAGGGGUAACCCAGAAAAACACAAGAGAGGGCUCUAAGGAACAGGAGAAUCAGAUGUUGGAGCAGAUGUAGGGGAAGGAGGGGAGGAAACAUGUAUAGGAAAAUUUGUGUCAGUGGAAUGCUCGGCUGGAGGAGUAGAAGGAAAGGAUGAAGGAGAAGGGUGAACAGAAGAAGGUUUAUUCUUAAAAGGAAAGCAAGUUUUAUGGAAUAGAACAUCCCUGGAGACAAAAUAUUUCUUGGAAACCAGAUCAUACAGUUUAUAACCCUUUUUGGCAAAGGGGUAACCCAGAAAAACACAAGAGAGGGUUCUAGGCUUUAACUUGUCCCUUUGAUGAAUAGGGACAGCAGCAUAAGCGAGGCACCCAAAUGCCCUCAAAUGAGAAUAACAUGGAGCUUUCCCAUACAAAAGUUCAUGCUAUAGGUUUUAACUUGUCCCUGUGAGGAAUAGGGACAACAGCAUAAGCAAGGCACCCAAAUGUCCUCAAAUGAGAAUAAGGUGGAGCUUUCCCAUACAAAAGUUCAUGAGGAGAUUUAUUGUGAAGAAUUCUGGAUGGUAUUCUGUUAAGGAGAUAAGUAGUAGUCAACAGACAAUCCCCCCAGAAAGACACAGGUAGGCCAGAUUGAAAAAGUAAGGCUCUACAUGUUUCAAGAAGGGUUCUG
rnacentral:lncRNA from 1 species